AGCAUUGUAGUUCGAAAGAUCGGUUGGCAGUAUAACGUGUACCCAACGAAAGGUGUAACCGUAUGUUGUGUUGACUUAAAGUAUCAACAAACAUUAAUUAACAUUAAUUAAUUGCAUUAUUACAGCCACAGAUCGUGGAAAGCCUCAUCAACUGAUGUCUCCAACCCACGGUCUACCCCCAAGUCCCCAGUCCUAGCAACAAUGCAGCAGUUUGGCUGGCAUCAGCAUCGCUACCCUCAGUGGUUUGGCAAGUUCAACAACCAUGCAGCAGACCCUGUCCUUGUUUUAUGGGGCGCACCGAGGGAGCCCGAGCUGGAGGGUGCCCCUGAGGAGCCUCUGCCGCCACCACCACCACCACCAGAAUGGUUGGAGGAGGGGUUACUGCUGCCGCCCCCGGAGGGGUGGGAUUACGCUUCUGUCCUGUCACUGAGCCCAGUCUCGAUCCUGGUUGGUUUUUGUUUGUGAAUGCAGCCCAUUAUGUUUGGUUUUCUGUCCUUGUCCUUAUUGUUUCCACCUGUGUCUUGUUUGCUCCCUCGUUGUGUCUCUAUUUAAGUUCCUCCUGCCCCAGUGGAUGCAUGGAAGAAUGUUUCAGAGAGAGUGAUACAUGCAUGAAGUAAAACGAAGUAAAUUGUUAUUUAAACAUUGACAAAUCACUGAUUUGGCAUCAUGUUGAUAAGUAAUA